CCCGCUGAACUUAAGCAUAUCAAUAAGCGGAGGAAAAGAAACCAACAGGGAUUGCCUUAGUAACGGCGAGUGAAGCGGCAACAGCUCAAAUUUGAAAGCUGGCCCUUUUAGGGUCCGCGUUGUAAUUUGUAGAGGAUGAUUCGGCGAGGGCUCCCGCCUAAGUCCCCUGGAACGGGGCGUCAUAGAGGGUGAGAAUCCCGUAUGCGGUGGGUUGCCUUAGCCAUGUGAAUCUCCUUCGACGAGUCGAGUUGUUUGGGAAUGCAGCUCUAAAUUGGAGGUAAAUUUCUUCUAAAGCUAAAUACUGGCCAGAGACCGAUAGCGCACAAGUAGAGUGAUCGAAAGAUGAAAAGCACUUUGGAAAGAGAGUUAAAAAGCACGUGAAAUUGUUGAAAGGGAAGCGCUUGCAACCAGACUUGUCCGCAGUUGCUCAACCGGUCUCCUGACCGGUGUACUCUUCUGCGGCCAGGCCAGCAUCAGUUCGGGCGGUCGGAUAAAGACCUUGGGAAUGUAGCUCCUCUCGGGGAGUGUUAUAGCCCAAGGUGGAAUGCGGCCAGCCUGGACUGAGGAACUCGCUUCGGCAAGGAUGCUGGCGUAAUGGUUGUA
rnacentral:rRNA from 1 species